rnacentral:rRNA from 1 species
UACGGAGGGUGCAAGCGUUAUCCGGAAUCACUGGGUUUAAAGGGUGCGUAGGCGGCUAUAUAAGUCAGAAGUGAAAUGUCCGAGCUUAACUGGGGACCUGCUUUUGAUACUGUAUAGCUUGAAUUAGGCUGAGGUUAGCGGAAUGAGUCAUGUAGCGGUGAAAUGCAUAGAUAUGACUUAGAACACCAAUUGCGAAGGCAGCUAGCUAGACCUUAAUUGACGCUGAGGCACGAAAGCGUGGGGAGCGAACAGG